GAUGAAGAACGUAGCGAAAUGCGAUAAGUAAUGUGAAUUGCAGAAUUCAGUGAAUCGUCGAAUCUUUGAACGCACAUUGCGCCCCCUGGUAUUCCGGGGGGCAUGCCUGUUCGAGCGUCAUUUCACCACUCAAGCCUCGCUUGGUAUUGGGCAACGCGGUCCGCCGCGUGCCUCAAAUCGACCGGCUGGGUCUUCUGUCCCCUAAGCGUUGUGGAAACUAUUCGCUAAAGGGUGUUCGGGAGGCUACGCCGUAAAACAACCCCAUUUCUAAGGUUGACCUCGGAUCAGGUAGGGAUACCCGCUGAACUUAAGCAUAUCAAUAAGCGGAGGA
rnacentral:misc_RNA from 1 species